GGGAUAAAGGUUUCGGGAAUGUGGCUCCCUCGGGAGUGUUAUAGCCCGUUGCG
rnacentral:rRNA from 1 species